GACGAACGCUGGCGGCGUGCCUAACACAUGCAAGUCGAACGAAAAGGUCGGGCCUUUGGGCGCACGGCUGCGUGACGAGGGGGGAGCUGCCCGUGGGUACGGAAUACCUCCCCGAAUGGGAUCCUAAUGACAGAUGGGGUCUUACGGCCAAAGAUUUAUUGCCUUUGGAUGGGCCCUCGUUGGAUUCGGUAGUUGGUAGGGGAAUAGCCGACCAAGGCCACGAUGCUUAGCUGGUCGGUGAGGAUGAUAAGCUACACUAGGGCUGAGACACGGCCCAGAAGCCUACGCGAGGGAGCAGUGGGGAACAUUGGACAAUGGGGGAAGGUCUGACCCAGCAAUGUCGGGUGAGUGAUGAAGGCCGUAGGGUUGUAAUGCUCUUUUACCCGGGAUGAUAGUGACGGUACCGGGUGAAUAAGCACCGGCUAACUACGUG
rnacentral:rRNA from 1 species